GAUGAACGCUGGCGGCGUGCUUAACACAUGCAAGUCGAACGUGAGAAUAGCAAUAUUUGAAAGUGGCAAACGGGUGAGUAACACGUGGGAACCUGCCUCGAAGUGGGGGAUAACGAUUGGAAACGGUCGCUAAUACCGCACGGUUCUGCUCUGAUGGGAAUGGAGCAGAUAAAGAUUUAUCGCUUUGAGAGGGGCCCGCGGCCGAUUAGCUAGUUGGUAAGGUAAGGCUUACCAAGGCGAUUAUCGGUAGCUGGUCUGAGAGGACGAUCAGCCACACGGGAACUGAGACACGGUCCCGACUCCUACGGGGGGCAGCAGUGAGGAAUAUUGGGCAAUGGGCGAAAGCCUGACCCAGCAACGCCGCGUGGAGGAUGAAGGCUUUAGGGUUGUAAACUCCUUUUGUGGGGAAAGAAUGGAUGGUACCCCAAGAAUAAGUCACGGCUAACUACGUGCCAGCAGCCGCGGUAAAUCACGUGUA
rnacentral:rRNA from 1 species